CGUCUUCUCGGCGGCGCGAAUCAAAUCGUCAGCGCGAUCAAACUCCGUGACGUCCCACGCCAGCCAGGUCGCGCGUGCCCCGAUGAUGGCCGCGCCCUUGGCCAGUUCGGCCUCUCGGCGGCCUGCCAGCACGACGCGCGCGCCGGCGGCCGCGAGGCACCGCGCGAUUGCAAAGCCGAUGCCGGAGCCGCCACCUGUGACGAGCGCGGUUUCACCCAGGAGGGAAAACGCCUGCUCAUGCGAAGCCAGAGGCGCCGGAUCGGAGAACGACUCGCUGAGCGACGGGUUCAGAUUCAUGCACACAGUCUGCAACGUCCACGCCCCGCUGACGAGUCGCGUUGCGGUUGACGUUUGAAACUUUCCCCGAUCCGCGGGCGAAAGGUCAGUGAUCCCGCACCGAGCCGUCGAAACUGUCCCACAUUUCCGGAAACUCCCACUCAGGCACGCCGCGCUCGUUUUCGACAAGGUUGUCGUCGAGCUCGAUGCCGAGGCCGGGACCAU
rnacentral:misc_RNA from 1 species